rnacentral:rRNA from 1 species
AUUGAACGCUGGCGGCAGGCCUAACACAUGCAAGUCGAGCGGCAGCGGAAAGUAGCUUGCUACUUUGCCGGCGAGCGGCGGACGGGUGAGUAAUGUCUGGGAAACUGCCUGAUGGAGGGGGAUAACUACUGGAAACGAUAGCUAAUACCGCAUGACCUCGAAAGAGCAAAGUGGGGGAUCUUCGGACCUCACGCCAUCGGAUGUGCCCAGAUGGGAUUAGCUAGUAGGUGAGGUAAUGGCUCACCUAGGCGACGAUCCCUAGCUGGUCUGAGAGGAUGACCAGCCACACUGGAACUGAGACACGGUCCAGACUCCUACGGGAGGCAGCAGUGGGGAAUAUUGCACAAUGGGCGCAAGCCUGAUGCAGCCAUGCCGCGUGUGUGAAGAAGGCCUUAGGGUUGUAAAGCACUUUCAGCGAGGAGGAAGGCAUCAUACUUAAUACGUGUGGUGAUUGACGUUACUCGCAGAAGAAGCACCGGCUAACUCCGUGCCAGCAGCCGCGGUAAUACGGAGGGUGCAAGCGUUAAUCGGAAUUACUGGGCGUAAAGCGCACGCAGGCGGUUUGUUAAGUCAGAUGUGAAAUCCCCGCGCUUAACGUGGGAACUGCAUUUGAAACUGGCAAGCUAGAGUCUUGUAGAGGGGGGUAGAAUUCCAGGUGUAGCGGUGAAAUGCGUAGAGAUCUGGAGGAAUACCGGUGGCGAAGGCGGCCCCCUGGACAAAGACUGACGCUCAGGUGCGAAAGCGUGGGGAGCAAACAGG